AAUGUACUCCCUCCGUCCGGAAAUACUUGUCAUCAAAAUGAAUAAAAGGGGAUGUAUCUAGAUGUAUUUUAGUUUUAGAUACAUCCUUUUUUGUCCAUUUUGAUGACAAGUAUUUUCGGACGGAGGGAGUACACG
rnacentral:pre_miRNA from 1 species